UGCUUCAGUUUGAAAUGGUCUGGUUGAGA
rnacentral:piRNA from 1 species